rnacentral:misc_RNA from 1 species
GAUGAAGAACGCAGCGAAAUGCGAUAAAUAAUGUGAAUUGCAGAAUUCAGCGAAUCAUCGAGUCUUUGAACGCACAUUGCGCCCCCUGGUAUUCCGGGGGGCAUGCCUGUCCGAGCGUCAUUGCUGCCCUCAAGCACGGCUUGUGUGUUGGGCCCCCGUCCCCCCCUCCCGGGGGACGGGCCCGAAAGGCAGCGGCGGCACCGCGUCCGGUCCUCGAGCGUAUGGGGCUUUGUCACCCGCUCUGUAGGCCCGGCCGGCGCCUGCCGACCACCAUCAAUCUUUUUUCAGGUUGACCUCGGAUCAGGUAGGGAUACCCGCUGAACUUAAGCAUAUCAAUAAGCGGAGGA